GUCUGUGAAGAUGAUCCUUCUGGAAGGUCUCGAAGGCUUCCUCUGGACUCCCCUUCGAUUCAUGUUUCUGUAUUGACGCGAUGUCUAGAUCUUCCGUUUGUGACAUAGUGAAUGAAUUAAGAAGGGGUUUAGGAUUGAUUGGAUUGCACUCAUGGCUCCGCUGGGUCGCGCGUUAAGUGUAAAGGUUCCUAGGACGGGGGUUAAGUGAGAGAUUUGAUUUGUCCUCUCUUAGUAUUUUAUUUUCUGCUUGAACUUUCUGAUAUAUCUCCUCUAUGUCUUUGA